rnacentral:lncRNA from 1 species
GGUAUCAAAAAAAUCAGAUUUUUGAAUUUUGGAGUAUCUUGGAAACAGAAGUUAAAUCUGAUUUCAGCUGACAAAACUGUUUUCUGGCUAUGCAAACCUAUCUCUGGGCAAACUAACCAUGGAAAUACAAGAAGCUGGCAUAAGGCAUGGAAUGGAAAGCACAGAAGACAUGGUUUCAAGAAGAUGACUGGAAAACUGCCCGAAUCAUUGUAUUUACAUGGUGAUUUUACAUGGCAGUUCCUGUGUGAUGUUAAUGAUUUCCUUCAAAACGUCUGUCUCAGAUACUGUCACUAUGUGAAAUUGUUGUUUUUUGUAUUAAACUUUCACCCAUGACUGAAAUGAAAAUUUAUAUAUAUAUUUUCUAUUCUGAACAAGUUCAUAAUUUCUUGAAUAUGCCCAGGGAUUUGAGCUCAGUUUCAUGGAUAGCUUUACUGCUGUAAUCUCUGGAUUUGUAAAUGAUUAGCUGUCAUAACAUGGUUCUUAAUUUUUCAGUGAAAUGUAACAGAAAAUUGAAAGUUUCUUUAUGGAAAAAGAAAUAUAUAUUGCUUGCCUUAGAAACAAGCCAGAUUUAU